AAUCAACAAGCAACAAAGCUCUCCCAGCACCAGCAACAGUAACAGCAGAAGCAGAAUCAGCUACAGCUACAACCACCACAGUCGAUAAACCAGUACCUGAGCCAGAAACAGUUGCAGCUACAACAACCACUGUAGAUAAACCAGUACCUGAGCCAGAGCCAGUGCCAGAGCCAGUGCCAGUGCCAGCGAUUGAAGCUGCAGUCGCUGCACAAGUAAUCACAGAACCAACCGAAACAGAAGCCAAACCAAAACCUCAUUCAAGACCUCUCUCUCCAUAUGCAUCGGUAAUGUUUCUACUUUCUCAUAAAGAGGCUCUUUUGGUGGGAAAUAAAGAAACCUUUAAGCUGUUUAUAAUUAUAAUUUGGACCUCCGUUGAUCCUUGAAGAAGUAUCUUUAUGAUUUACGAGUUCGUACAUGGGUUUCUGUUAUCGUUUAUUAAUAUGAUGUCUUUCUUAACUCUUUUACAGUACCCUGACUUGAAGCCUCCAUCUUCUCCGAUGCCAUCGCAGCCCUGAAAACAGCUAAGAACAGUCUCUCUCUCGUUACUUAGUCUGGUUUUGUCCUCCUGCA
rnacentral:lncRNA from 1 species